rnacentral:rRNA from 1 species
CCUGGUAGUCCACGCCCUAAACGAUGUCAACUAGCUGUUGGGGCCUUCGGGCCUUGGUAGCGCAGCUAACGCGUGAAGUUGACCGCCUGGGGAGUACGGUCGCAAGAUUAAAACUCAAAGGAAUUGACGGGGACCCGCACAAGCGGUGGAUGAUGUGGAUUAAUUCGAUGCAACGCGAAAAACCUUACCUACCCUUGACAUGUCUGGAAUGCCGAAGAGAUUUGGCAGUGCUCGCAAGAGAACCGGAACACAGGUGCUGCAUGGCUGUCGUCAGCUCGUGUCGUGAGAUGUUGGGUUAAGUCCCGCAACGAGCGCAACCCUUGUCAUUAGUUGCUACGA